GACGUAGGUGGCGAGCGUUGUUCGGAAUCACUGGGCAUAAAGCGCGCGUAGGCGGCCAAGUCAGUCGGGUGUGAAAGCCCUCGGCUCAACCGAGGAACUGCGCCCGAUACUGCUUGGCUUGAGGGUUGGAGGGAGAGUGGAAUUCCCGGUGGAGCGGUGAAAUGCGUAGAGAUCGGGAGGAACACCCGUGGCGAAGGCGGCCGACUGGGCCGACUCUGACGCUGAGGCGCGAAGGCGUGGGAGCGAACGGGA
rnacentral:rRNA from 1 species